UACGUAGGGGGCUAGCGUUGUCCGGAUUCAUUGGGCGUAAAGGGUGCGUAGGCGGCGCGGUAAGUCGGAUGUGAAAUCUCGGAGCUUAACUUCGAAACUGCAUUCGAUACUGCCGUGCUUGAGGACUGGAGAGGAGACUGGAAUUUACGGUGUAGCGGUGAAAUGCGCAGAUAUCGGGAGGAACACCCGUAGCGAAGGCGGCACUCUGGGCCGUGACUGACGCUGAGGAGCGAAAGCGUGGGGAGCAAACAGG
rnacentral:rRNA from 1 species